rnacentral:rRNA from 1 species
AUUGAACGCUGGCGGCAUGCCUUACACAUGCAAGUCGAACGGUAACAGGUCUUCGGAUGCUGACGAGUGGCGAACGGGUGAGUAAUACAUCGGAACGUGCCCGAUCGUGGGGGAUAACGCAGCGAAAGCUGUGCUAAUACCGCAUACGAUCUACGGAUGAAAGCGGGGGAUCGCAAGACCUCGCGCGGACGGAGCGGCCGAUGGCAGAUUAGGUAGUUGGUGGGAUAAAAGCUUACCAAGCCGACGAUCUGUAGCUGGUCUGAGAGGACGACCAGCCACACUGGGACUGAGACACGGCCCAGACUCCUACGGGAGGCAGCAGUGGGGAAUUUUGGACAAUGGGCGCAAGCCUGAUCCAGCCAUGCCGCGUGCAGGAUGAAGGCCUUCGGGUAGUAAACUGCUUUUGUACGGAACGAAAAAGACUACUCUCUAAUACAGGGGUGAAGUGACGGUACCGUAAGAAUAAGCACCGGCGUAACUACGUAGCCAGCAGCCGCGGUAAUC